GAUGAACGCUAGCGGCAGGCUUAAUACAUGCAAGUCAAGGGGUAGCAAUACUACCGGCGCACGGGUGAGUAACACGUACAUAACAUACCAUAUACUGGAGCAUAGCCUCGGGAAACUGGGAGUAAUUCUCCAUAGCAUUUUAGAGUGGCAUCACUUUGAAAUUAAAGCUCAGGCGGUAUUAGAUUGGUGUGCGUAUGAUUAGUUUGUUGGUAGGGUAAUGGCCUACCAAGACUACGAUCAUUAGCUGGCGUGAGAGCGCGACCAGCCACACUGGAACUGAGACACGGUCCAGACUCCUACGGGAGGCAGCAGUAGGGAAUAUUGGACAAUGGGCGAAAGCCUGAUCCAGCCAUGCCGCGUGGUAGAUGAAGGCCCUCUGGGUUGUAAAUACCUUUUAUCUGGGAAGAAAUAUCUCGUUCUCGAGAAACUGACGGUACCAGAUGAAUAAGCACCGGCUAACUCCGUGCCAGCAGCCG
rnacentral:rRNA from 1 species